rnacentral:rRNA from 1 species
UACGAAGGGUGCAAGCGUUGCUCGGAAUUAUUGGGCGUAAAGGGUUGGUAGGUGGUUGCGUAUGUCUGGGGUGAAAUCCCUGAGCUUAACUCAGGACGUGCCUUGGAAACGGCGUAACUAGAGUACUAGAGAGGUUCGUGGAAUUCUUGGUGUAGCGGUGAAAUGCGUAGAGAUCAAGAGGAACAUCAGCGGCGAAGGCGACGAACUGGAUAGUAACUGACACUGAACAACGAAAGCGUGGGGAGCAAAC